AAUAGAUACCCCGGUAGUCCACGCCGUAAACGAUGAAUACUAGGUGUAGGAGGUAUCGACCCCUUCUGUGCCGCAGUUAACACAAUAAGUAUUCCGCCUGGGGAGUACGAUCGCAAGAUUAAAACUCAAAGGAAUUGACGGGGGCCCGCACAAGCAGCGGAGCAUGUGGUUUAAUUCGAAGCAACGCGAAGAACCUUACCUAGACUUGACAUCUCCUGAAUUACCCUUAACCGGGGAAGCCCUUCGGGGCAGGAAGACAGGUGGUGCAUGGUUGUCGUCAGCUCGUGUCGUGAGAUGUUGGGUUAAGUCCCGCAACGAGCGCAACCCUUAUCAUUAGUUGCUACCAUUAAGUUGAGCACUCUAGUGAGACUGCCACGGUUAACGUGGAGGAAGGUGGGGAUGACGUCAAAUCAUCAUGCCCCUUAUGUCUAGGGCUACACACGUGCUACAAUGGUGAGUACAAAGAGAUGCAAUACCGUGAGGUGGAGCCAAACUCAAAAACUCAUCCCAGUUCGGAUUGUAGGCUGAAACUCGCCUAC
rnacentral:rRNA from 1 species